GGCCAUUUUGUCUUAUCGACUCCUCUGUAGCGGAGGCUUUGCGGCCUGUGAGCGGGCCGAGGAGAUUGGCGACGGUGUCGCCGGCGUUUUCUUUGGCGGGUGCCAGGGCUGGUGGGAGCAGCCGCCCGAGGAAAGCACCAUGAUUUCGGCCGCGCAAUUGUUGGAUGAGUUAAUGGGCCGGGACCGAAACCUCGCCCCGGACGAGAAGCGCAGCAACGUGCGGUGGGACCACGAGAGCGUCUGUAAAUAUUAUCUCUGUGGUUUUUGUCCUGCGGAAUUGUUCACAAACACUCGUUCUGAUCUUGGACCAUGUGAAAAAAUACAUGAUGAAAAUCUACGAAAGCAGUAUGAGAAGAGUUCCCGAUUUAUGAAAGUCGGCUACGAGAGAGAUUUUCUGCGAUAUUUACAGAGCUUACUUGCAGAAGUAGAACGUAGAAUUAGACGAGGCCACGCUCGUUUGGCAUUAUCUCAAAACCAGCAGUCCUCUGGGGCAGCUGGCCCAACGGGAAAAAAUGAAGAAAAAAUUCAGGUUCUAACAGAUAAAAUUGAUGUACUCCUGCAGCAGAUUGAAGAAUUAGGAUCUGAAGGCAAAGUAGAAGAAGCCCAGGGAAUGAUGAAAUUAGUUGAACAGUUAAAAGAAGAGAGAGAGUUGCUUAGAUCUACAACCUCGACAAUUGAAAGUUUUGCUGCCCAAGAAAAACAAAUGGAAGUCUGUGAAGUGUGUGGAGCCUUUCUGAUAGUAGGAGAUGCCCAGUCCCGGGUAGAUGACCAUUUGAUGGGAAAACAGCACAUGGGCUAUGCCAAAAUUAAAGCUACUGUAGAAGAAUUAAAAGAAAGGUUAAGAAAAAGAACCGAAGAACCUGAUCGUGACGAGCGUUUAAAAAAGGAGAAGCAAGAACGAGAAGAAAGAGAAAAAGAGCGGGAGAGAGAAAGGGAAGAAAGAGAAAGGAAAAGACGAAGAGAAGAGGAAGAAAGAGAAAAAGAAAGGGCCCGAGACAGAGAGAGAAGAAAGAGAAGUCGUUCACGAAGUAGGCACUCAAGCCGAACUUCUGACCGAAGAUGCAGCAGGUCUCGGGACCACAAAAGAUCACGAAGUAGAGAAAGGCGGAGAAGCAGAAGUAGAGACCGACGAAGAAGCAGAAGCCAUGAUCGAUCAGAAAGAAAGCAUAGAUCUCGUAGUCGGGAUCGUAGAAGAUCAAAAAGCCGGGAUCGAAAAUCAUAUAAGCAUAGGAGCAAAAGUCGGGACAGAGAACAAGAUAGAAAAUCCAAGGAGAAAGAAAAGAGGGGAUCUGAUGAUAAAAAAAGUAGUGUGAAGUCCAGUAGUCGAGAAAAACAGAGUGAAGACACAAACACUGAAUCAAAGGAAAGUGAUACUAAGAAUGAGGUCAAUGGGACCAGUGAAGACAUUAAAUCUGAAGGUGACACUCAGUCCAAUUAAAACUGAUCUGAUAAGACCUCAGAUCAGACAGAGGUAAGUGUAUUGUUUCUCACUUUGAUUAGGGCUUUUUGUUACUGUUUGACAGUGCAGCGUAAGUAUGCACAGAUGAAGAUGGAACUAAGCCGAGUAAGAAGACAUACAAAAGCAUCUUCUGAAGGAAAAGACAGUGUAGUCCUGCAAAACAUUUUGAGCGUUGGUGUUGUGAGCGGCCCAUGAAAAGCCAAAUUAAAAAUCAAGGAUUCAGUCAAACUAAGCAGGUACUCAUGCCAGGUACUCCUUUCUCUACCCACAUCCAUGUUUGAAUGCUAUUGCCUGUGAUCUUUACGCUUAAUUGUUGUGUAUCUUUUUGUUCUUUACAAGAAACACAGGGGUUUUUUGUGUAUUGUGUAAUCUUACAAAUCAAAUGUUAACAGAAUGGAAUUUUUUUUCAACUGUAUGUAGGGAUGCAGUGGUGCCCAGAAUUAGAUAUCUUUAAAGAAUUUAAAAUACAGUAAACACUUCAUAUUAUUCGCCUUGUUACAUUCAGUGCAAUUCUCAAGUCUUUAAGAGGUAUGUGUUUAAUAUUUCCUACUGUGUAGGAGACUUUGCAGUCAGCCGUUAGGAGUAUAGGAAGAGUCACUGGCUGAUAAAAUUCAAAGCAGCAGUGAAUAGCAAGGAUGGAUACCUUCAAUCUGUGAAAUACAAAGAAGUGAUUGACUAUAUAGAAUGAAUUUGGGUUUUUAAAGAACUAUUAAAAGUCAGGUUGUAUAAGAGUUCUUAAAACCUAUAAACUAUUCAUUCUUUGGGCUAGUGGCAUGGGAUAAUAUAUUCCUACUUGAAAGGAAAUCCCAAUUAGUUGAUUUGUCAGUGGCAUUCCUUUUCUAGGACAGUGAUACAGUAGUAUGUCUGUGUGAGCCAUUUACAGAUAGGCAAGCAUACACAGGUACAUGGCUUUAAGACCACACUGAUACCUUGAUAAUAAAAAGAAUACAAACAUUCCAUGUACAUAUAUAAAUGAGCAGUUAGUGACUGGGCCAAUAACUUAGUCAUAAAAAUUUGCCUUUUACAUGUUGUCUAAUUACCAUUUUUCCCCAAAUUUUGCAUUGUAGGACUACUGUUCGAAGAUUUUUGAAAGAAAACUGAAAACGGCAUAAAGUGAAGAUCAACAUUAAAAUGAGGUGAAAGAAAACUUUAGUGGCAUAGAAAAAGUAUAAAGCUCAGUUAGUAUGUUUUUUUUAAUUAAAAGUUUAUUCAGAACUGAUGUGACCUACCAGAUUUCAGAACACGUGUUAAUAGCAUAUAUAUGCCACUGAAAACUUAGGUCCUGUAUCAUAUUUUUUUCUUUAAGACUUUUUAAGAAAUAUUACUUAAACAUGUGGCUUGCUCACUGUUUAAUUGCAAGUUUUCAUUCUUGGACUUUGAAAACAGGAUUAAACGUUAGUAUUUGUGUGAAUCGGUUUAAGUGGGAUUCCAUUUUUACAACUCUGCUUACCUAGCCUUUGGAUUUAGAAGUGAAAAUAAAGUAUCUCUGACUUUAUGUUACAGAUUUGAUUGUCUCUGUCAUUGAAAAGUUUUAGUAUUAAUCUUUUUCUAAUAAAGUUAUUGACUCUGAAAUAGUCCCUUGUUUUAAAUAUAAGAGGUGCACUGUUAGAGGUGUUAGUGUACAGUUUUAUCUGAUUUGUUUUGUUUAGGACUAAUUUAAAUGUUUUAAAUAAUGGUGCUUCAAUUUUGGGUGGUUAUGAAUAAAUUUUGAAUUUUGCUUUUAAUAGCAAAGAUGUACAGUGACCUAGAAUAUAUUUUUACAUCCCUGAGAGUUCUUUAGUAGUAGAAUAAAAUUCAAACAAUUCUGACAAAUACUGUCAUAUUCUAGCUAUGAUGAAAUAAUUAUGUAGAAGAGCAUUCAAGAACUUUUAACUAAUUUUUGUCUUUGUUUUAAAUCCUGUAUCAAGAUUUCUUUUCAUCUGGUCUUGUCACAUUACAAAUGUAUUCAUUUGUGUGUAUGGGGUGUGUAGUACAUAUAACAAGGAUCUUUUUUAAAAAACUGCAUGAACAGGUGAUUUUUUUCCUACAGACAGCAAAUUUGACAGACUGUUUCUAUGUAUAGCCAGCUUUGUUAGCUGUAUGAAAGUAUUAUCUCCAGCUACGUAUAUCAUAGCAAUUCUUUCUGAUUAUGAUUUUCAAAUACUGCCAUUAGUUUAUAGGUAGAGAAAGCAAGUAAAAAUGGGUUAGAUGACUUAUCUAAGGUCAUGUUGCUCCAUGGUGAUGCUUAACGAGCCCAUGGAGUACAGUCUCUGUGUGCAUUGAAGUUGAAGAAUUGACUAAAACAGCCUCCACCAGGCUUUGGAAAAUAAUGAAGCUACCACUUCAGAGGCUCUGUAUGAGAUAAUGCUGUGUGGACAGAGCACACAUGGCUUACCCAGCUGAUCCUGGGGGCUCAGAAAUAGGUGAAUGGGUUAUCUCUGAAUUUGCCAGAUAUGAUUCACACAAGGAUUGAGAUGGGGAAACAAUGUAACACAAAGUCAGCCACCUUCAAAACUCUGCUUUGUGUAGUUUGACAGGAUUGUGGAUGAGGAGUAAAAGACUUAAAGUAAUAAUUUACCGUAUUCUGUUACUAAGUAUUAAGAAAAAUGGAAAACAAAAAACUAACGUGUUAAAAUGCCUGAUUUGUUCUGCCUCGUGUAGCAUCAAUAGCUAAAUUAUUUUAAUGAAGUACAGAAAUGAGUUCAUGAAAAGUUUUCAUCAUCUUCAUCUCUGUUGUAGACACUUAGGUCUGUUGAUCACUAUUGAAGCUUUGUAGGAUUUGAGGGAGAGGCCUGACUUCUUAGUAACUAAGGUAUGGCCUUCAGCUGUGGAGAUCUAAAAGUUGGGUCACCCCAUCACCCCAAAUUUGUCAGGUUCAGGAGGAAAUGAUUCUUAUUAACCAAGUUCACAGGAAUUCAAUAUAGAGGGCACACGCUAAUUAACUGUAACAAUAUACAUUUCUGUGGUGCACAUCAAAAAGUUGUCAGUUGAUGAAUAUGUAUUUUCUCUGCAAAGCUUUUAAGGGGCGCCAAUUGAUCAGGAGAUUACUUGAUAAGAUUGGAAUCAGGAAUUCUUAAACUUUUUAUUUAGGAGAAUUGAAGGCAUACACAAAUGUAGAACAGUAUAAUUAGCCUCUAUGAAAGCUCAUCACCAAUAAGACACAAUGGCCUGUCUUAACAUCAUUUGUGUGUAUCCCUUGCCCCCUAUUAUUUUCAGUCAAGUCUUAGACAUAAUGUGUAAAUAUUUCACCUUGUAUCUCUAAAAGGUAAAGACUUUAAACAGUUCAUUAAUCAAAAUAAAUUGGAUGAACUUCUAAUUGGCCAGAGUCAACUAUAGUACUGGUGUGAUAGCUUACUUUUCAUGGUGCCUCUCAAGGGGACCAGGUGUUGAGGCUGAUGCUCUGGCAUCCUUCCUUCUGCAAUGUAGAAAGAAGUGCAUCUUCCCCCCUUUUUUUUGACAUUUUCCCCCAGAUGAGAAUAUAUUUUUCAAUAAGGAUUAAAAUGCCUUUUCUUGAGCUUUUAAUAAACUAGUAUUUCCUUCCCAGUUUAGAUAUUUUAACAAUCUCUCCCUGGCAGUGGUCUGUCCAAGUUCUUCAAUAUACUGAGUAUCACAGCAGACACACUGACCCUAUUUUUAAGGUCUGAGAACAAUGACCACAUAAAGAUUGAGUUCAGAUACCUUCUGAUUAAAGUUUUAGAGAUGUUAAAACUGAACAAUUUAAGGUAGAAGCUUCUUGAGCUUGUUUCCAUUCUAUGCUUUUAAAAAUACAUUGUAGAGCUGUGUGAAUGUUCUUAAACAUUACCCUAAGGUGCAUGAAACAGCACUUGAGAAUUUAUUGUAUAUAUUUUCUGUGGGAUAUGACUUUAGGGUUGGUUUUCAGAUUUCAGUUCAGGCCAAAUUUUUAGAAAGAACCCCAGGUGAUUACUUUAUAAUUAUAAAGUUUUGUAUUGCACAUGUAAUGCUUGUACAAGGUUCAGAAACACUAGAAGUAUGUAGCGAUCUGUCUCCCUUCUACUUCUGUCCCUCCCUCUCUCCUCUCUCUCCAGGAGCUACUACUGUUACCAGUUGUUCUUCCAACUGUUUUUUUUGUGGGGAGGUGGGUGGCAGGGCAUGUAAGCAUAUAUGUAUAGAUCUUUUUAUAUAUGUUGCUACACAUGUUCUAUGAAUCUUGCUAUUUUCGCUUGGUUUAUUUAGAAACAUUGGAGACAGGAAACAGCAGUUCUAAAUUUUAACAUGGAGUUUUUUAAAGUACAUUUUAAGUAAACCAAAACAAAAGUAAGUGUGGUUUUCAUGGUUGUAUCAAAUUUUUGAAUUUCCUAUUUUGAAAUGCAGUUUGAGAAUUUCAUAGUUGAUCUGUUUUUUCCCCUCAGCCAUUCCAAGUAGAUCAGUUGUCAGCAUACUUGAGAAUGUAUAGGAACAACAGCUUCGGUAAACAGUUCGGCACAACCGGCUGUGCCGUAACUUCUCUUGGGGCCCUUCCACCCCAGACACAUAACUCUAGAGAAAUCCUUAACGUGUGUGCCAGAAGAUGGAUGUAAAAAUGUCAUAACAGCAUUAUUUGUAAUAGGAAGAAAAGGAAAAAAACCUGGAAAGAACCCAAGUAUCCUUCAGCAGUCCACUGGAUAAAUACUGUGGUUUAUUCCUGCAGUGGAAUUCCACACAAGUCAGACUGAACUACACUGCACCUGUGAACAUGGGUGAUCUCAGUGGUCAGAAAAGCAAGUUACAGAAGAAUACUUCCACUGAUUCCAUUUCUGUGGAGGUCAGAUGCAGGUGGUAAAACAUGGUAAAUGAAAGGAAAUGAUUGCCAUGAAAUUCAGUGUCACCCAUCGCAUUGGAGGGAUGGAGGGAAAUGAGACCUUGGAGGGCAAGGAGGAGCCUUCAGAGGAACUGGUGAUAAUGCUCUGUUGCAAAGGCUGGGUGGCAGUUUCUUUUCAACUGUAUUAUGUGUUUUUUGUAUGUAUGAUAUUUCUUAAUAAAAUUUAAAUUUAAAAAAAGAA